rnacentral:misc_RNA from 1 species
GAUGAAGAACGUAGCGAAAUGCGAUAAGUAAUGUGAAUUGCAGAAUUCAGUGAAUCAUCGAAUCUUUGAACGCACAUUGCGCCCGCCAGCAUUCUGGCGGGCAUGCCUGUCCGAGCGUCAUUUCAACCCUCAAGCCCCCGGGCUUGGUGUUGGGGAUCGGCGAGCCUCCGCGCCCGCCGUCCCCUAAAUCUAGUGGCGGUCUCGCUGUAGCUUCCUCUGCGUAGUAGCACACCUCGCACUGGGAAACAGCGCGGCCACGCCGUUAAACCCCCAACUUCUGAACGUUUGACCUCGGAUCAGGUAGGAAUACCCGCUGAACUUAAGCAUAUCAAUAAGCGGAGGA